GAGUGUUGAGGGAGAGAACCACGAGCGUGCUGUUGAACUACUGAAGGCUGCGAGUGGAUCCGUGAAGCUGGUCGUUCGCUACACCCCAAGAGUUCUGGAGGAGAUGGAAAUGCGCUUCGACAAACAGCGGGCGUCACGUGGGAACCAGUGGAACUAAUCAUCCUACGGAGGCAGGAAUUUGCAAAGACACCAAAGAUGUACCCUUCUUGUUGCUUCGUGAUAGAUGUCAUUCCUCAGUGUGUGUAGCAAGGACCCUCUAUUACUGACGAUGUUUCACUCGAUGUUCAAAGUUAUGCAGAGAAAUUUUGGUAUUUAUUAUGUACCCUCUUGUAGAUUAUUCUAUCAUAGUAUUGUCCUUUAGUUAUAGUAUCAUAUUUCUUUUCAGUUAUUGUGUAUGAGUACUUAAAUUACUUUGCAAGACAUAGGUGUACGUAGGAAUUUAAUUUUACGGGUGUAUCAAAGUUAUGAAGGUAAUAGCAACACCUUAAAUAUGUUAAUUACAAAAUUGUUAACGUAACGCAACCUGAGUUUGGUUAUAGAUUAUUUAUAAUUUUUAAGAUACCAGCUUUCAUAACUAUGGUUUUUUUUUUCUUGGUGACAAUCUUUCCAUAAAUAGGUGCCUAGUUAUGGUAGUAUUUAUUCAGUUAGAUGUGUUCUGUGUAAACAUUCCUCUUCACUACCUAUAGAAUAAUAUUGUUUCCAAAGAAAGGGUUAUAUAGGUAAGAUUUUAAACAAGUACAUGUAAAGAUUUCUUGAUUAUGAAGGAGUUUUCUAUUCACAUUCAUCUUAUUUUAGGAUGAAAGGCAACUCUUAUAUUCAGUAACUUAUAGUUUGUAUCUGUUAUUUAUGAGUAUUUUACCUGACCCUUGUGUUGAGAAACAUUAUUCAACUAUCACAGACAUGACUUCUCCCAGUUAAGUGUAAGACAUUUGCCAUAUGUGCAGAUUAUUGUUGUUUCUCUGACUGUAUUAAUUAGGUAGAUUUCGGUACCUUCUUGAAAUUGAGUAGCUAAUGUUUCAGAAGCCUAUUGUGGUUUAUACAGUAGCAAUACAUACAGGAACGAAUCUUUAGAAUCCUGAGCCAAGACCCCAAGUGAAAGUAUGUGUUUGUUAACAAGCUUUCAAACUAGCAGUUGAUUACGUUUCAGUACUUAUGUUAUACAAUUUUUUUUUUAUCAAUUUGGAAAGUGUUUAGCAGAUGAGAGUGAGGUACAUGACCAUAUUAUUUAUGUAAAUAAAAAAAAUAUGAAAAAUGCAAUUAGCACAUAAGUCGGAUAAAAAUGCAUAUGUUUAUUUUACUGGACCUAUUGGAGAGGUGACAGAAAGAGUUUAUAAAGAAUUGCAACCAGCAUUUUUUAGUUUGUUCCGGGUAAUACAUACUUUUUGUAAUGAAAGAGGCACCAGACAAACUUGUAUAUAGUGGGGUUGGGUUUUUCGUAAGCCCCUCUAGUUUGUGCUUGAUGCCGUGAUAUAGUAUCCUUUUUUGGCCUUGCUGCUAAAUCUGGUUAAGUCCAGUGUCUAGUCUAAUAACCUUACUUGAUUUAGAAUUCUCGUCUUAAAAAGGCAGCUAUAGUUAGAGGAGCAAUAAAUAAAAUGGUGUAAACAGUGGGCGAGGGACAUACUACCUUAAAAUUAAUUAGAUUCAGUGAUGUGGUUUAUUUAGGCUAUGCCAUCAUGGGAUAUGACAUUAGAGCUUCAAACUAGUUUCACCAUAACCUAACACUUAGUAACUGUCAAUUUGGAGAUCCACAAAAUCAGAUUUUUGAAUGACAUCACAGUAAAAUGUGGAAUAAAGGAAGAAAAUCUAGACUAGUAACAUUGCUGAUAGUAGUAGUCAAGAAAUGAAGAUAGACUAGUCUACUGUUGGACCAUAGCAAACAACAGUCACAAGCAAAUGGUGCUAAGAGGAAGCAAAUAGAAGAGCUUAAAGGACGAGCAUAAACAACCACAUGAAAUUGGCUUCAUAGCAUGAGAAACUUUACAAACAUUAGAGUUUAGGUCAAGUUAACUAAAGUUUGAGCUCUGGCGUAUUACAGCUGUGGUAUUGUUUUGACAGGUUUUAUUAAUGAAUUGGGAGUUCAUAAAUUUUUGACAUUGUGUUAAUGUAACAAGUUGUACAUUUCAGAUGUUUACGUUACACAUCACAUAAAUUUAGUCUUAAUUUGGUAAUGAAUGUAGAAUGGUAAUAAAAAGGUAAUUGUUUAAAAUAUUCUCUCUCAUUUGGAAAACUUGCAAACUUGCAGUUUUUAUGACGUCGGCAAGUACUGUACAUUCAGUCAAGUAGAGGAAAAAUUCUUGGUAAACCAGAAUUCUGAUGCUGGUUAAAUGCUACGAUAUAUAACAAGUGAUGUUACAAUAAAAAGAAGAGAGGGAGAGCUUUUAAUGACUUGAAUUUAAUUGUACUUUUCUUGUUUCCUAAAUGUGUUUUAUAAUGUAAGGGUUGAAUAAAAACUUUAUCAUCA